AAGGAUUUAAGUUAAUUAUAAACUAGUAGCCUUCAAAGCUCCCAUUAAAGAUUGGUCUUUAAGCCUUA
rnacentral:tRNA from 1 species